CAUUAGUACAAUGAUCCUCUGAUUGAUUACCUCGUUAGUACAAUGAUCCUCUGAUUGAUUACCUCAUUAGUACAAUGAGCCGCUGAUUGAUUACCCCAAUAGAAGACCUUGAGCCGGACUCUGAUUUUAACUACAUCACAUGAUGUCGAGGAACGAGACACGUUUCAGAGUCACAUACAGAAACGGAGAUCUGAACGCAGAGAAGCACAAGUUUGGAUCUUUUCUUCAUCCUGAAGAUCAGAAAUACAUCAAGGACAUCGUGGCGCAUGAUACCAUAGAGGACAUCGUCAUCAACCCAAACAAGUAAAUCGGUAAGAUGGCUGCACCCCCUCCAGUCUCCUGGUCCUGAUGGAGGGUUUUAGCUUUAGGUGGAGUGAGGAGGUCCUCAUCUUGCCAAUAGAACCUCUGCUGACUGUGUUUCUUGCUUCAUUUAGAACAAUAUCCUAUUGUUAUUAAAUAUUUACAAGCUGCAUCACAAACAUAACAUGAUCGGCUAUUCUUCUAGUCCCGUUAAAGAAUCUGACUCCUUGAUGCUCCCCUAUGGGAACACAUUUAAAUAGGGUUUUAUAAACUGCCAUCACGUCUCCAGAUGACAUGCAUGAUCAUGCUGAAGCCAAAAACCUUCUGCACGUGUCAGACUCCAACCAGGUGAAACGCAUUUAACUCUUUACUCACAGCUAGUUUAUAGCAGCAUGUUUAACUUCAGUCCUCUGCUUCCUGUUUACCUCCAAACUCACCUCUUAAUUUUUUAUUCUUUACUCACCUCCUCAUGUUUAACUCUUUACUUACCUCUGCUUGUUUACACAUUUAGCCACCUUUGUGUAUUCUGUAAACCUACAGAAUUUAUUUUUUCAUUCUAGAUCCCAAUAGGAUACAUUUUUCUAUUUUAUACAGUAAAUUUGUAAAUUGCACAUGUCAUUCUUCCAGCACUGGGUUGUUUGUGUUGUUGUCCAUUGUCUCAUUGUCUUACUGACAAAUGUUAUGCACCAACCGCCAUGUCAAAUUCCUUGUAUUUCUAAUAUACUUUGGCGAUAAAUGUUCCGGAUUCCUGAUUCCAGAUUUUUGUUUACUUUCUGUUUGAAGGUCUCAGUGUUUCUGCUAACGGGAUCACUUUCGUGACCUUACUUUUUAUACGUACAAUUUUUGCUUCUGCAUUUCUGUCUUUCUUUCGGUUUAUGAUGAGAGAUCUUGGAGCACAAAUGUGUUUUGGGACAGAGACAGAAGUUAGAAGUGGAAUUGUCAUAAAAACUAUUAUCAUUUUCCUCCUUGUUAUAUCUUUGUAAAAGUAAUUCUCACCACUUAAUCUUGGAUUUGCACACAGACGGAAAGCAUGUUUGACUUCAUGCUGAACUUUGAGUUUUAGAGUCAGUUAAAAAAAAAACAUUUAAAGUUAAUGAUAUGUAUUAUGUGAUGUUUUUUGAGUGGAUUAACCCUUUAAGACCAUAUGUUUAAUUGUGUAAACAGCUAACAGCUUUAUUCAGUCACUUUAUGAGCUGCAUUAUUGGGCAAACAAACUCUUUGUAAGAUUUUUAUUAAAAUCUUGAGUUGAAUUUAUCUAAACAAAAAAGCUCUACAGUAAAAUAAAUAUAUGCAGUAGAACAGUUUUGGAUAUUUACAUGUUGUUUGUUAAGUAAUCAUCACAUACAGAUAUUUUUAAUGUUUUUUUUGAAAGUGCUGAAAUGUCUUCAGAUGUAUUUGGUUGUAAACUUUAAGAAGCUGUGGACACUGAUGACACUUCUGUCUUUGAAGAAACCUCAGAAGAUUCAUCCAUUGGUUUCCCAAAAACGGUCUCCAUGAUGCAGGCGUUAAACUGUUGAGGAAAAUAACAGUUAACAUUACAACUUCUACUUUAUCGGGCCUGACCUGAGUACAAAAUUCAAAUUAAUCACAUCUCUGAACAUGCUCAGCAUCCAACGUUCAUCUCAUUCUGCGGGAUGAUCAAGGUGUCUUAAGGUGUAACAGCGUGAGUUCCCAAUUACAUUUUUAACUCACCCCGCCUUCUAGUUUUGGGGUCAACUCUGCUCACCUGUUUGUUCAUGAAGGCAUAGAUGAGUGGGUUGUAGACACACGAGCUUUUGGAGAAAUAUGCAGGGACGGUGACGAGUCGAUAAUCUUUGUUUUCGUCUGGAGAGAAGGCAAACCAAAGACCUGUUAUGGCGUAGGGAGCGUAACAUGCAACGAAGGAUCCCACCAUGACUAUUAUCAUCUUGGACACUUCCUUCUCGGCCUUCUGGGUUGAUUCCGACUCCGCCUGCUGAGCUGCUACCUGAAAACAAGAAUCAAAACGAGGACCUUCAAUAACGGUUGAUCAACUGAUUGGUUGAAGAAGUUUGUUUGACUUUUACUCACAGCUCGAAGAGCACCCAGUAACUGAGAGUAGGAGAAGAUGAUGAUGCUGAGCGGCAUUAUGAAGCAGGUCACAAUCAGGAAGUAUAAGUAGGAGGUGCAGUUGAACUCCACGUUGUGAGUAUACCAGUCAGGUCCACAGGAGCAGCCUAGACCUUCAGGGAUGUACCUGAAAACAACACGGUUGAUGUGUAAAAUGUCAGCUAUCUGUAGAAAGUCUCUGGCGUCUGUGUGUUACUCACCUGCUCCAGCCGAAGAAAGGUGGGCUGGAACAACAGAUUCCCAUAAACCAGGUGAAGGCGACAGCACCGAGAGCGUGGUUACUGGUAAACUUAAAGGCUCCAAAAGGUUUACAGAUGAUCAGAUAUCUCUCGAAAGACAAAACAGCCAAAGACCAGGCUGUCACCAGUCCUGCGGUAGCCAGAGGGGGUUAAUGCAUGACGGUACAAAUAAAAUGCAAAAAAAAAAAAUCGACAGAAUCAGCGGUUUUGCUAAGAUCAAAUAGAACUGUUUGUA